UACGUAGGGAGCAAGCGUUGUCCGGAAUCAUUGGGCGUAAAGCGCGCGUAGGCGGCCUCAUAAGUCCGUUGUGAAAGUCAAAGGCUACAACCUUUGAAAGCCGAUGGAUACUGUGAGGCUAGAGUCCGGAAGAGGCGAGUGGAAUUCCUGGUGUAGCGGUGGAAUGCGCAGAUAUCAGGAGGAACACCAAUGGCGAAGGCAGCACUCGUGGGACGGUACUGACGCUGAGACGCGAAAGCGUGGGGGAGCAAACAGG
rnacentral:rRNA from 1 species